rnacentral:lncRNA from 1 species
ACCUUCCUGAGGUGACAUGUAUAAACCCCAUGCUUUGUAGAUGGGGUAGCAGAAAAGUCAGAACACAGUUAACUGACGUACUCGGAAUGUAACAGUAUAAGUUUUUCCACAAUGGCAAUUGAUUGUAGAUCUCUGGGCUCUAAGGAUGUAGACAUAACAUUCCAAAGAAGGUGUCCUGUGAACCUGAAAUGUUAACUGAAAUGGCAUGCAUGCAACUACAGGGGGAAAAAGAAACACUGUUCUAUAUCAACAACAUGAUAUAAGGGAAACCUUUGACCAUAUGAAUGAUGUUGACAUUAUUGUAUCUUGAACACAGUUUCUCAAGCAGAACCCCACGUCAAUACAAGCAAAAGUAUCAUCAUCAGUCUGAUGAGGGCAAAUGGGCAGAGGAGGCUAAGAGUGUGACAGGUCAUGGCA